GACGAACGCUGGCGGCGUGCUUAACACAUGCAAGUCGAACGGAAAGGCCCUGCUUUUGUGGGGUGCUCGAGUGGCGAACGGGUGAGUAACACGUGAGUAACCUGCCCUUGACUUUGGGAUAACUUCAGGAAACUGGGGCUAAUACCGGAUAGGAGCUCCUGCUGCAUGGUGGGGGUUGGAAAGUUUCGGCGGUUGGGGAUGGACUCGCGGCUUAUCAGCUUGUUGGUGGGGUAGUGGCUUACCAAGGCUUUGACGGGUAGCCGGCCUGAGAGGGUGACCGGCCACAUUGGGACUGAGAUACGGCCAAGACUCCUACGGGAGGCAGCAGUGGGGAAUAUUGCACAAUGGGCGGAAGCAUGAUGCAGCAACGCCGCGUGCGGGAUGACGGCCUUCGGGUUGUAAACAGCUUUCGCCUGUGACGAAGCGUGAGUGACGGUAAUGGGGAAAGAAGCACCGGCUAACUACGU
rnacentral:rRNA from 1 species